UUUUCCCCAGAGUUGAGGUUUUCCUCUAAGGAAUCCGACGAGAUCACGAGAUUCGUGAUAGAGGAUGACUUUGCGGCCUGUGUUCGUUUGUGAUGGACUAGUUGGAGCACCCCUGCAGGGUUUAAUCUUUCGGAAAGCCGUGCCCGCGGUUAUGUGGCAACUUGGAAUAUUUUGUUAACAUCCGGUAUUAGAAAACUUAAACAAAAACUAAUAAAAUAUGCCAACUGUGUGAGUAACCGUGACUGUCCCUUCGAAGAACUCUCUUCGAUCGGGAACACGGUGGGGUUACGAAUGCCGUAGGUAGGUGUUCAGGAUCACUUUCUGAUCAAGUAAUCACGAUCGUUAGUAUAGAACACUGUCACUUCUCCUUCGCGUAAGCUAUCCACUUGUUCAAUCUUAGGAUGCAACAACCUGAAACACUUCACCCCUUCCUUACCCAAUAACAUGACUAGUUCUGGCACCAAGGUCUUAGAUUGCUGAGUCCCCGUGGCUCACGGAUUCCUCCGAAACUCCCAGCAGGUACAGGUACCCCAGAGGCAGAUGAUCCCGAUGGCGCCCAGCUGGCGUGGCAGUACGACGAGGAGACAGAUCGCCUUUACGUGAACUAUCCAGAGGACUGAGCCGUGGUCGUGAUCGUGGGCCUGGAGCGGGUAGCAUAGCAUUUUCCGUGUUUUUGUAGCCCGUACCGGAACUACAUUGAUUGUAUCUGCGUUGUACUCUGUAUUAUUAACAAGAAGACAGUUGAAUCCCAGAUUGUCUACUUUAUUUUCUAUUAUGUGCUAUGUUUACUUGCUUGCAAAACACUUAGAUGCGCUUCUUUCCUAUUCGGGGCCUCGACCCCCAGAUCGGAAAGGACCGCAUCUUGGUCGUUACAAGUUGGUAAUCAGAGCCUUACGACCAUAGGAGCCUCUGUGUGAUCGUAUUUGGCCGAG
rnacentral:lncRNA from 1 species